AUCACACUUAACUUAGCAACUACGAUUGAUUUGCAGUUGCGAUCAAUCUUAGAUCUUUGUGAAAUCGGCCCCAGGCUUUUUUAUAAAUGAUGUAAUUGUCGAUUGUAGAAUUCAAACCUACCUCUAAUCAUCAGUUCUCUGCCAUCGGUGUAGGAGUCUACAAGGUGGGGUCAUGGGUUCGAACCCCACCUGAGUAGCCAGUAUAAUCAAUUUAGUUACAAAUGUAUAAUAUCAGUGUACUUAGAUGCUGGGUCUCUGGUUCUUGGGGGUUGGGUUUAAAUCCCAACUGAGCAGCCAGUACUUUCAAUCAGAGGUUCUUGGGUCUUGGGUUCAAAUCCCUUCCGAGAAGCGAGUAGAAUCAAUUUAGUUACAAGUUUACAUUUAUAAGGAUACUAUCUGUGUACAUGUUCUUGAAUGUGGGGUUUCAGGUUUUUGAAUGUUGGGUUUCGAAUCCCACCCCAAGUAGCCAGUAAUUUCAAUUUGAUAAGGAUACAUUCUGUGUACAUGUUCUUGAUUGUGUGAUCACAGGUUCUUGGGUCUUGAUAUCAAAUCCCUUCCGAGAAGCGAGUAGAACCAAUUUAGUUACAUGUUAACAUUUAUAAGGAUACUAUCUGAGUACAUGUUCUUGAAUGCGGGCUCUCAGAAUUCUGAGUGUUGGGUUCAAAUCCCACCUCAAGUAGCCAAUAAUUUCAAUUUUAUAAGGAUACAUUCUGUGUACAUGCUCUAGAAUGCAGGUUCUUUGGUCUAUGGUUUGAAGCUCACCUGAGUAGCCACUAGUUUCAAUUUAGUUACAAUUAUACAAAUACAAUCUGUGUACAUGAACAAUGGGUCUCUGCUUUUUGUGUAUUUGGUUCGAGUCCAAACCCAAGUAGCCAAUAGGUUCAAUUUUGUUCAACAAUUAUACAUGUAUAUGUAAGGAUACAAUCUGUAUAUAAGUAUACAAUCCGAGUGCAGGAACUCUGGUUCUUGGUUUCAAUUUAGCUACAUGUAUUGCAGUUUAAUUUAGGUACAUUGUUCAAGUUAUCAGUUGCUUUCUGGUAGUUUUAUUGAACGUAGUUUAAAAUUAGUUAAUUUUAAUUUGGUUUGCAGUAGUUGAGCUGUGGGCAACUCUUGCGAAUUAUUUGUUGCAAACUUGUUAUGUGAAAAUUCGUUUCGCAUUCGCAGGAAGUAUGAACCGGGCUUUAGUAUCAGCCACUCACAGAUACCAACAUUUUAGGGUCAUUGUUUUCAGGAAUUGCUGAAACCUGGUCCAAAAUUGCGCCUGGUUCAUACUUGCUGCAAGUGGGAAUGCGAUCUGAUUUGUCGUCAAAGGGCUGUUUUUGCAGCGAAUGUUUCGCAGGAGUUGGUCACAGGGCACUUCCAAUUUGUGACAUCAAAAUAUGCAUGGCAUUUGCAUUCACAGGUAUGAACCAGGCUAUAUAUUGACUAAAGAUUGUGGGUAUUGUGGGUGGGUUAGGUACUGGUAAAAUUGUUGUAGAAGUCGGUAGCCAAUCAAAAAAUAAGCUUCGUUCCCGCCCGUUCUUGUUCAGUUUUAUUCGGCAAUAUAAUUGUCUAUUUCAGAGUUCAAACUGAUCAUCUGUUGUGCUCAGAAGCAUUGGUUUAGUGGUAUACAAGGUGGUGCCGUGGGUUCGAAUCCCACCAGUGUAUCAUGUUGCAACAUCGAAUCCACAGUACUUAAUGUCACAAUAGAAUUAAUAGUUUAUGCUUGUGAUUCUGUUUUUUGUGGUUUUAUGUGUGGUGUUGGGAAGACUUGGGUACGUGGUAAUUUCUUUAAUUUCUAGGUGUUAUCUUUUCGAGCUACUUGAAAGGUCAAACUACUUAAGAUAAUGAGACAAUUUUCAAUCAAUAACUAAAAUGUGCAAUUAUUCAAUACCAAAAUGUAUCAAGAGCAAUGCUUUGUUGUAAAUGGUUUUUAAAAGUGGUUUGAAGCCACAGCAACUCCUGUGCAUUUUA